rnacentral:tRNA from 1 species
UCCCUAGUGGUCCAGUGGCUAAGACUUUGCACUCCCAAUGCAGCAGGCCUAGGUUUGACUCCUGGUCAGAGAA